CCGACCUUAGCUCAGUAGGAAGAGCACGAGACUGUAACCGGCUAAAAACUCAUCUCGGGGUCGCCUGUUCGAACCAGGCAGGUCGGA
rnacentral:tRNA from 1 species